UACGUAGGGUGCAAGCGUUGUCCGGAAUUAUUGGGCGUAAAGAGCUCGUAGGCGGUUUGUCGCGUCGAAUGUGAAAACCCGGGGCUCAACCCCGGGCCUGCAUUCGAUACGGGCAGACUAGAGUUCGGUAGGGGAGUCUGGAAUUCCUGGUGUAGCGGUGGAAUGCGCAGAUAUCAGGAGGAACACCGGUGGCGAAGGCGGGACUCUGGGCCGAUACUGACGCUGAGGAGCGAAAGCGUGGGGAGCAAACAGG
rnacentral:rRNA from 1 species